CGCUCGACGACCUGCGGGUCCGAACCGCGGGUGACCAUCAGAUAGUCACGCAUCGCGAUGCUGUGCCGACCCUC
rnacentral:sRNA from 1 species